CCCCACCCCACCACCCGAAACCCUACCAUAUCCUCCUCCACCGACGCCAUGGCGCCGCCUCGCUCUCGUCACGGUAGAACACCUCUGUUGUUUGCAACAUACCACAAUGGGGGUACUGCCGAGUAUCUUCUUGAUCAUGGUGCUGAUCAAGACAAAGCCAAUAAUGAUGGGGUUUCCCUGCUACACUAUGCUGCUGAAUCAGGCAAUUGUGAAAUGCUAGAGCUUUUGCUUGCAAAAGGAGCUUAUGUUGACCCGGUAGCUCCUCAUGGAACACCACUUCAUGGUGCUGCUGGUGAAGGGCAAUAUGGUGCUGUGAAGAUUUUAUUGGACCACAAUGCAGAUUACAACAAGAUGGUAAAUGGUGUGACACCUCUUAUGGCUGCUAGAGAUGCUAACUCAACAGAAUGUAUCAAGCUCCUAGUUAAGGUUCAGGAGGAGCCCAUGCUUAAACGGGAAAUCGUGGCAUCAGAGCUUAUAUCACUAGGGAAUAUCUCUUUAAAGAAAAAAGAUUAUGCUGUCGCAGCAAAAUUGUACAGUCGGGCAAUGCAGCUUGAUCCUGAUGAUGCAGUCUUGUUCUCAGACAGGAGCCUUUGUUGGCUUCACAUGGGCGAUGGAAGAAAGGCUUUGCUAGAUGCUAAUAAAUGCAGAAAAAUGCGACCUCACUGGCCAAAAGCUUGUCGCCGGCAGGGUGAAGCUCUGAUGCUACUGAAGGACUAUGAGGGCGCAAGUGAACGGUUCUUGGAUGGACUCAAAUUGGACCCAGUGGACACUGACAUCGAGGAUGCAUUACGGGAAGCUAUGAAGUCCUAGAAGACGUCUCAGAGCACGAAAGCCAGUAACGUCGGUGGAAGCUCGUCAGUUCCCAUCGAUCUAUCCUAUCUCAGGCUUGCGGGUCUUCUACGAAGCUCACUCACCCGCCGCGCGCCGUGUGCCGCGUCCACCAAUAGAUCGCAGCCUUAGUAGAGGGAUAUGUUUUGUUGGUUUUCUUCGUCCUGUGGCUGCACAAGAAGAGGAGAGCUAGUAUAUAUAUAUAUAUAUAUAUAUAUACAAAACCUUUUAUGGUAUCAGUAAAUCGGUGUGCAAGUUAACAGUAUUUACUUUGCAAGCCGUUCGCCGAGUUUAAUAGUUUCUG
rnacentral:rRNA from 1 species